UACGUAGGGUGCAAGCGUUAAUCGGAAUUACUGGGCGUAAAGCGUGCGCAGGCGGUUUUGUAAGUCUGUCGUGAAAUCCCCGGGCUCAACCUGGGAAUUGCGAUGGAGACUGCAAGGCUAGAAUCUGGCAGAGGGGGGUAGAAUUCCAGGUGUAGCGGUGAAAUGCGUAGAUAUCUGGAGGAAUACCGGUGGCGAAGGCGGCAUCCUGGACCGAGAUUGACGCUGAUGAGCGAAAGCUAGGGGAGCAAACGGG
rnacentral:rRNA from 1 species